rnacentral:tRNA from 1 species
GGGGUAUAGCUCAGUUGGUAGAGCGCUUGAAUGGCAUUCAAGAGGUCAGCGGUUCGAACCCGCUUAUCUCC